rnacentral:rRNA from 1 species
UAAAGAGUUUUUUUUUCUCUGCUCAGGAUGAACGCUGGCGGCGUGCCUAAUACAUGCAAGUCGAACGCUUUGUGGUUCAACUGAUUUGAAGAGCUUGCUCAGAUAUGACGAUGGACAUUGCAAAGAGUGGCGAACGGGUGAGUAACACGUGGGAAACCUACCUCUUAGCAGGGGAUAACAUUUGGAAACAGAUGCUAAUACCGUAUAACAAUAGCAACCGCAUGGUUGCUACUUAAAAGAUGGUUCUGCUAUCACUAAGAGAUGGUCCCGCGGUGCAUUAGUUAGUUGGUGAGGUAAUGGCUCACCAAGACGAUGAUGCAUAGCCGAGUUGAGAGACUGAUCGGCCACAAUGGGACUGAGACACGGCCCAUACUCCUACGGGAGGCAGCAGUAGGGAAUCUUCCACAAUGGGCGAAAGCCUGAUGGAGCAACGCCGCGUGUGUGAUGAAGGGUUUCGGCUCGUAAAACACUGUUGUAAGAGAAGAAUGACAUUGAGAGUAACUGUUCAAUGUGUGACGGUAUCUUACCAGAAAGGAACGGCUAAAUACGUGCCAGCAGCCGCGGUAAUACGUAUGUUCCAAGCGUUAUCCGGAUUUAUUGGGCGUAAAGCGAGCGCAGACGGUUAUUUAAGUCUGAAGUGAAAGCCCUCAGCUCAACUGAGGAAUUGCUUUGGAAACUGGAUGACUUGAGUGCAGUAGAGGAAAGUGGAACUCCAUGUGUAGCGGUGAAAUGCGUAGAUAUAUGGAAGAACACCAGUGGCGAAGGCGGCUUUCUGGACUGUAACUGACGUUGAGGCUCGAAAGUGUGGGUAGCAAACAGGAUUAGAUACCCUGGUAGUCCACACCGUAAACGAUGAGUGCUAGGUGUUUGAGGGUUUCCGCCCUUAAGUGCCGCAGCUAACGCA